AGGUUGGUAAUAUGGCUCAUCUGGUUAGAGGACAUUCGGUAACAUUUUGCCUGAUUUUCUUCUUGAUGCAAGUUACCCCCAAGGAUUCUUUCUGCCACAGAUGUGUCUGGAUCAUGACAGAUGGGAAAGAAUCUUCUUCAGUGACCAGAAUCUGUGCCAACAGACCUUGGGAUCCCCAAAGUCCAAAAAGGGGGCUUCUGCUAUCUCAGCCUCCUUGCAACUGAUCGUGUUUGACCUAGCUGAGAAAACAGGAAAGCACUUGAGGACAUGUCACUUACAGCAUGGCUAUUGCUGCUUCCUCCUUUCGAUGUGAGGGUAUGAGUGGGGCUGUGGCAGCCACCUUGCCAGCCAUAAGGAGAAGGCCAGAACCUCACAGAGUGGUUGAUCCAGUGCCCUGGAUGGACUGGCUUUGGAACCAUUGUCACUGUGGGUGAUAACUAAACGCCUCUGUUAUUUCAACAAAUUCAAUUCAGCAAAGUUUACUAAAGCAUGUCUAGUAUGUUGGGAGCUGUUCUAGGUACUUUAACAGAUCUCAAUGAACAAAGAUCCUUGCCCUCCUGAAGCUAAAUCUGGCCCUUCUUAGCCAGAUACUAUUACCUGUAGUUUAAAGCAUUCCCUACUAACGUUGGUGUUGUAACGUAAGAUUCUGUGGGUUGGGUGCAGUUGUGUGCUGAAGCUGGCUCCUACCAGCUUAUAAGAACUUAUGGCUAAAUUCAGAAAUUUUGAGGACCAACGGUUAAACACAGCCAUUAUUGAAAAUUAAAUUGUAUACAUUUAUAAUUAAAUCAGUUAUAUUAAAAAAACAAACUCAUCACUUCCUGUUUACUAUCUAACCUUUUGAGGUUUUAACAUCUACUGUAUUUAUAUGAUAUGAAUAGUAUAUAAUGGUGUGCUACUGUGUAUCUCUCCCCAGGUUCACAUUCAAUGUCACUUUGGUAGCUUGAAGUCUGCAAUGGUGGGAGUAUUUAUGACAUGGGAGUUGACAACUGCUAUAAGUUAGGGCUUGAUUUAUUGGUUUAAUGACUGUCUAGACAGAAGAAGGGAUGGAGGAAAUAUUAACAAUGCAGAUUAAACUUUAAGAUUGUCACAUCUGUAGCCAUUACAUUGUGAACAGCACAAAAAUUUGAGGAAAUAUUCUUCCUGCAUUAGAAAAUUAUCUGAUUCAACAAGGAAGUCAAUAAUGUCCAUGAUGAUCAAGUAAAAGUUUGAAUAUCUUCAUUGUUUCACCUUACUUGUUAAUGUAAAUAAAAACAUCAACCGAUAUUCUUGUUAAAACUACAUUUGCUUAUCAGUUGCAACCAUGGGUUGACGUAGACACAGAGUUUGGCAAAAGAUCAAAGGAAGUGUUCUGUGAGAAUCAACUGACUAAAAUUUACAAGGAAGAAUAUUGUAUACUUUAUCACUUGCAAAC